rnacentral:rRNA from 1 species
CGUGUAGGCGGGCAAUCGAGUCAGAUGUAAAAGGCGACGGCUUAACCGUAGUAUGUCAUCUGAUACUGGUUGUCUUGAGUUCGAGAGAGGGUGGUGGAAUUCCCGGUGUAGCGGUGAAAUGCGUAGAUAUCGGGAAGAACACCAGAAGCGAAGGCGGCCACCUGGAUCGACACUGACGCUGAGACGCGAAAGCGUGGGUAGCAAACA